rnacentral:rRNA from 1 species
AUUGAACGCUGGCGGCAGGCCUAACACAUGCAAGUCGAACGGUAACAGGAAGCAGCUUGCUGCUUCGCUGACGAGUGGCGGACGGGUGAGUCAUGUCUGGGAAGCUGCCUGAUGGAGGGGGAUAACUACUGGAAACGGUAGCUAAUACCGCAUAAUGUCGCAAGACCAAAGAGGGGGACCUUCGGGCCUCUUGCCAUCGGAUGUGCCCAGAUGGGAUUAGCUUGUUGGUGGGGUAACGGCUCACCAAGGCGACGAUCCCUAGCUGGUCUGAGAGGAUGACCAGCCACACUGGGACUGAGCCACGGUCCAGACUCCUACGGGAGGCAGCAGUGGGGAAUAUUGCACAAUGGGCGCAAGCCUGAUGCAGCCAUGCCGCGUGUAUGAAGAAGGCCUUCGGGUUGUAAAGUACUUUCAGCGGGGAGGAAGGGAGUAAAGUUAAUACCUUGGCUCAUUGACGUUACCCGCAGAAGAAGCACCGGCUAACUCCGUG